rnacentral:rRNA from 1 species
CCUACGGGAGGCAGCAGUGGGGAAUAUUGGGCAAUGGACGCAAGUCUGACCCAGCAACGCCGCGUGAAGGAAGAAGGCUUUCGGGUUGUAAACUUCCUUUAAGGGGGAAGAGCAGAAGACGGUACCCCUUGAAUAAGCCACGGCUAACUACGUGCCAGCAGCCGCGGUAAUACGUAGGUGGCAAGCGUUGUCCGGAUUUACUGGGUGUAAAGGGCGUGCAGGCGGGCCGGCAAGUCAGAUGUGAAAUCCACGGGCUUAACCCGCGGACUGCAUUUGAAACUAGUGGUCUUGAGUACCGGAGAGGUCAUCGGAAUUCCUUGUGUAGCGGUGAAAUGCGUAGAUAUAAGGAAGAACACCAGUGGCGAAGGCGGAAGACUGGACGGCAACUGACGGUGAGGCGCGAAAGCGUGGGGAGCAAACAGGAUUAGAUACCCUAGUAGUC